CCAAGACUUGCUCUUGUUUGCAGUGGCAGUUGAGGGGGUUCCCCUGUAUGCAUACAGUGAGUGCAUUGCAUCGCAUAAGGCCACAAUGGAGAAAGUACUGCAGUGAUUACUAUUCAGUGGAGAACUAUAAGGCCACAUAUGCACCAACUUUUGCACCACUAGAUGAUAAAAGUGAAUGGGUCCAGCCAAACAUGAACAAGAAGAUCUUGAACCCUCCUCACAGUAGGAAACCAGGAAGACCCAAGAGCAAGAGGGUAAGAAGUUAUGAUGAACCU